ACCGGCGCUCAAAUGUCAAAAGAAAUAAAUGUAGUUGAAACAUUGAAAUAUGCAAGCGAUUUAGUGACUGAUUUUAGUUUUGAAAACUCAAUAAAUUUCUAAGCGACGAAGAAUAAUUGAUAAAACAAACAAUGACGUUUGAAAAACAUCACCUUUCAUAUGGUGAAAAACUGUUGCGCUAUACAUUCUGUUAUUUGAGAAAUUGUAUAACAAAAAAAGCAAUGAAGAAGACAUUUAUUGAAAUCAUUACGCAGAAAAACUUCGCCUAACUCUCUCUGGAAUUACUUAUACUUCCGAAACGUUAAUGUGAAAGUUUUCUGCCAAAAACUUGGUUUAGUAGAAUUAUUACCUACAUAAAAAUAUAAGGAUUCUCGUGAAAGUUCUAAGCGAUAAAAGAAAAAAUAGAGUAAGAAAAACAGGUGAAAUCCGUAAACAAGGAAUAGUGAAGAAUAGUAAACUCCGAAGCACCUAGAAGCAGACUCCUUACCUACAUUUUGGUAGUUUUAAUGAACGAGCCAUUUAUACUGAGCAAAGUUUUGUUAAAUUUACAAGAGUUCUUUUUAAGGUUCACGAUAAAGUAAGAUAUCCAAAAUGAAAAGUAUUUUAAGUGGUAUAUCGAUGUAGUUUUUUUAAUAAUUAAAGGUAGCAUUCAGACUAUCGAAAUAAUACCCAAAA